AUGAUAGAGCAUCUGUACAGCCUUUUAUAUCUUCUAUCAGCAAGGUAUGUACGUAACCAGAUUUGCAAGUUGUAAUCUUGCAAGUACCCUGUAUCUUUCCAAAGAAUAGGCGAAGUCUCUAACAACGAUUUAUAAUCAGCAGCAUUUAUAUUUCGUCACAUGUCAUUAAAUAACACAGAAUACCGAAAAAAGUUUCAGAUACAAAUUUUAAAUUGAUUCGUUCAAAGGUUUCCGUCUGCAGAGGUUAUAUAACGUCUCGGGAAUCCGAGGGGCCAUUACAGAAGUCCACAUUCGUCUCGUGUCCUACGUCGUAAAGAAUCCUAUUCACAUUCUCACAAUCUGUUACCCUGGAUCUCCGAAGGGUCUCUUCAAUCUCUUUCAUCCCACAAACCCUGCUCGCUUCCACCUUUCUGAUGCAAUCAAUACACGAUGUAAAGUUUACUACAUUCAUGCUUCAGAACAGGUCUGUUAACUGUCGACAACGGUAACCCGAAUUAUAAAGGAGUGAAUUCAUCUAAUGCGCAUUUAUUCAGUACCAUCACUGGUAUGUUGACCCCUGAUAAAAGUACUUCCCUUGUUAUAGAUAUCAUUUCAGAUAAUAUCAAUAAAAAUUAUAGAUUACAUUGAAAAUGUAUGCUGAACAAAACAAAAAUGUCGAAUUGUCCAAACAUGGCCUUAUUGGGGAGCAAAGUGAUCCGUGAAAUGAAAUUUCAGGGCCAUAUCUAAAGGAAUGGAACAUUCAUAAAAAUAUCUCACCUUAUUUGUGAGUGUGUAAUAAACUGCAGUUUCUUCUGGGGUGAUGUUUUUAAACAUCCAGAAAUGAAAUCAUGCCGCCAACUUUGCACAGCCCUGAGGUAAAUCCUUAUUAAAGAUAACGCAGUACUGGUAUUUUUAUUGUUCAUCUGUUCUAUGAAGAGCAUUACGUACAUGAUAUGCUUCAAGGUCAUUGUCGGAACAAAACCAAAUUAUGCCCUCGUCCUACGCAGCAGUGUGAAAGACAAUUUGGAGUAACCAAAGAGUCGUACGAGCUCAGUCAGUGAAGUGACAGGCUACUACCAGCUGCAGGACUGAGCUAGUCACCUCAGUGGAUCUUCCAUCACAUUGAAGCCAGCUAAGAACAAAACACACAACUGCACACAAAGGAA